GAUGAACGCUGGCGGCGUGCCUAAUACAUGCAAGUAGAACGCUGAAGGAGGAGCUUGCUCUUCUGGAUGAGUUGCGAACGGGUGAGUAACGCGUAGGUAACCUGCCUGGUAGCGGGGGAUAACUAUUGGAAACGAUAGCUAAUACCGCAUGACAACAGUUAUUGCAUGAUAACUGUUUAAAAGGGGCAACUGCUCCACUACCAGAUGGACCUGCGUUGUAUUAGCUAGUUGGUGAGGUAACGGCUCACCAAGGCGACGAUACAUAGCCGACCUGAGAGGGUGAGCGGCCACACUGGGACUGAGACACGGCCCAGACUCCUACGGGAGGCAGCAGUAGGGAAUCUUCGGCAAUGGACGGAAGUCUGACCGAGCAACGCCGCGUGAGUGAAGAAGGUUUUCGGAUCGUAAAGCUCUGUUGUAAGAGAAGAACGAGUGUGAGAGUGGAAAGUUCACACUGUGACGGUAUCUUACCAGAAAGAGACGGCUAACUACGUG
rnacentral:rRNA from 1 species